UUAAGUCUGUUAUGCAUACUUUUGUGAGUUUGACAAAAUGUGCACAACCGGCUUACUG
rnacentral:pre_miRNA from 1 species